CAGCAGUGGGGAAUUUUGGACAAUGGGCGCAAGCCUGAUCCAGCCAUGCCGCGUGCAGGAAGAAGGCCUUCGGGUUGUAAACUGCUUUUGUCAGGGAAGAAAUCUUUUGGGUUAAUACCCCGGGAGGAUGACGGUACCUGAAGAAUAAGCACCGGCUAACUACGUGCCAGCAGCCGCGGUAAUACGUAGGGUGCNAGCGUUAAUCGGAAUUACUGGGCGUAAAGCGUGCGCAGGCGGUUUUGUAAGACAGAUGUGAAAUCCCCGGGCUCAACCUGGGAACUGCAUUUGUGACUGCAUGGCUAGAGUACGGCAGAGGGGGAUGGAAUUCCGCGUGUAGCAGUGAAAUGCGUAGAUAUGCGGAGGAACACCGAUGGCGAAGGCAAUCCCCUGGGCCUGUACUGACGCUCAUGCACGAAAGCGUGGGGAGCAAACAGGAUUAGAUACCCUGGUAGUCCACGCCCUAAACGAUGUCAACUGGUUGUUGGANNGGCUUGCUGNUCAGUAACGAAGCUAACGCGUGAAGUUGACCGCCUGGGGAGUACGGCCGCAAGGUUGAAACUCAAAG
rnacentral:rRNA from 1 species